GAUGAACGCUGGCGGCGUGCCUAAUACAUGCAAGUCGAGCGAACAGACGAGGAGCUUGCUCCUCUGACGUUAGCGGCGGACGGGUGAGUAACACGUGGAUAACCUACCUAUAAGACUGGGAUAACUUCGGGAAACCGGAGCUAAUACCGGAUAAUAUAUUGAACCGCAUGGUUCAAUAGUGAAAGACGGUUUUGCUGUCACUUAUAGAUGGAUCCGCGCCGCAUUAGCUAGUUGGUAAGGUAACGGCUUACCAAGGCAACGAUGCGUAGCCGACCUGAGAGGGUGAUCGGCCACACUGGAAAUGAGACACGGUCCAGACUCCUACGGGAGGCAGCAGCAGGGAAUCUUCCGCAAUGGGCGAAAGCAUGACGGAGCAAAGCCGCGUGAGUGAUGAAGGUCUUAGGAUCGUAAAACUCUGUUAUUAGGGAAGAACAAAUGUGUAAGUAACUAUGCACGUCUUGACGGUACCUAAUCAGAAAGCCACGGCUAACUACGUG
rnacentral:rRNA from 1 species